CCUACGGGAGGCAGCAGUGGGGAAUAUUGGGCAAUGGGCGCAAGCCUGACCCAGCAACGCCGCGUGAAGGAAGAAGGCUUUCGGGUUGUAAACUUCGUUUCUCAGGGACGAAGAAAGUGACGGUAGCGGAGGAAUAAGCGACGGCUAACAACGAGCCAGCAGCCGCGGUAAGACGCAGGUGGCAAGCGUUAGCAGGAUUUAUUGGGUGUAAAGGGCGUGUAGGCGGGAGCGCAAGUCAGAGGGGAAAACUCAGGGCUCAACCCUGAGCCUGCAUUUGAAUCGGUGUUUCUUGAGUGCUGGAGAGGCAAUCGGAAUUCCGUGUGUAGCGGUGAAAUGCGUAGAUAUCCGGAGGAACCCCAGUUGCGAAGGCGGCUUGCUGGACAGUAACUGACGCUGCGGCGCGAAAGCGUGGGGAGCAAACAGGAUUAGAUACCCCUGUAGUC
rnacentral:rRNA from 1 species